rnacentral:rRNA from 1 species
CACGUAGGGCGCGAGCGUUGUCCGGAAUUAUUGGGCGUAAAGAGCUCGUAGGCGGCCUGUUGCGUCCGCUGUGAAAGCCCGGGGCUCAACCCUGGAAUGCCGGUGGAAACUGUCGAGCUAGAGUCCGGAAGAGGCGAGUGGAAUUCCUGGUGUAGCGGUGAAAUGCGCAGAUAUCAGGAGGAACACCAAUGGCGAAGGCAGCUCGCUGGGACGGUACUGACGCUGAGACGCGAAAGCGUGGGGAGCAAACAGG